AUGGUCCUUGUCAUAUUGUACAAAAGAUUCUUUUCCAGAAAAUUACAAAUAUCAUUUAUUAGUCUUGAACAGAAGGCUUGGCAUAUAUCAGAGGCUUGUUGUUUUACACACUUUUCUUUCAGCUACAAUGACUGUUUAGAUUCUCACUCAUGUAGCACCCACACCUUUGAAAAAAAAUAUGUUCUUGUCCGUGUCCAUUUAUUUUUUCAAAUUAUUAUCGGUGUCACCGUCAGUGUCAAGGUCAAAUUUGAGGUGUCGGUGCUUAUAUAUUCUCACUGCUUUAGCAUGAGUUUCAUUUUAGAGUAA